AUACGUAGGGGGCGAGCGUUGUCCGGAAUGACUGGGCGUAAAGGGCGUGUAGGCGGCCGAUUAAGUCUGGAGUGAAAGUCCUGCUUUCAAGGUGGGAAUUGCUUUGGAGACUGGUUGGCUUGAGUGCGGAAGAGGUAAGUGGAAUUCCCAGUGUAGCGGUGAAAUGCGUAGAGAUUGGGAGGAACACCAGUGGCGAAGGCGACUUACUGGGCCGUAACUGACGCUGAGGCGCGAAAGCGUGGGGAGCGAACAGGAUUAGAUACCCUGGUAGUCCACGCGGUAAACGAUGAAUGCUAGGUGUAGGGGGUAUCGACCCCUCCUGUGCCGGAGUGAACACAAUAAGCAUUCCGCCUGGGGAGUACGGCCGCAAGGUUGAAACUCAAAUGAAUUGACGGGG
rnacentral:rRNA from 1 species